AAGGAAGUUGCAUCAGCAAGCAGGCUGGAGAGGGGAGUGCCAAGCAUAUGGCUGGACCCUGGUGGACAUGUGUCCACGAGACCUGGCUGGGCAGCAGCCUCGGGAAAGCCCCCAGCAGACAUGAGCAUCUUGGCGCCCAAGACACUGGAGGUGCAUCUGAGGGUGCAGAAAGCGGCCCAGGGCUUAAGUGGGGGUGCACCCAGCGGGGGUGCAGGAGCAGGAAGUUGGCUGGACCUGCUACCCACCAGCUUCCAACUGACCCCCUGCUGCGUGGCCCUUCCCGAAGGAGGCACCUGAGGCAGGACCUGCCCAUCUUGACAGGGGGAUGGCUGCAAACACAACAUCUGGGUGGGCCCAGUCCCAAGAUCUGAGUCACAUGCUCAAGCCCUCUCCGCUGUGUCCACCACACAGCAGUGCCCAGCUUGGGGCUGGCACGAAGGAGUGCUGGGCCUUUCCUGUACCCCAGUAGGCCGUGCAGCCUGGCAUCUCAAAGGACAUCCGGGGAGCACUGCACCCCAGAUCAUGGCUACUGCUUGUGCAGUGUGGGCAUCCACACAGACCACUUGCUGCCAGUGGACCGGCCAGCCCUGGGGACCUGGGGGUGCUCUGGGGGGAGGGGUGGCUCUCCCCACCUGUGCCCCUGUUCCACGGAGACCAGGGGUCCACCUGCUCCACACCUGGACCAGCUUGGGGUGGUUUGGUGAGUCUGAACUCUGCUCUGGCCUGGCUUAACGCCCCCCGCUCCAGGGGCCCCUGCACAGCCCCUGAACCACAUCUCUGCCACGAGCUCCAGGAGUCGCAUGUCCCCACCUCACCUGGCGCCUCCCAAGCCCUGCCCUUCCAGCAGAAGCCGCUGGGUGACCGCCCCGACCUGAGCCCUGACACACGCAGCCCGCCCAGACCGUCCGUGCCUGGGACGCCCCCUGAGCAGAACAGUAGCCCUGCUCCCAAGUCUGCCUCCACACCGGCCUGCUCAGCCUGGCGUCCAGGGACACCCGGAGCCCAAUUCCCACCCAAGCCCCGCAGGGCGCUGGCCCGGGCGCGGGUACUCACGGCUGCUCUGCAAGCGUCUCCGGAGCAGCCGCGGCCGCGUAGGUGAUGGGCACCAGCCCGGCGCUGGGUCGGCCGGAGAGCCCGCGGGCGAAGACGCAGUUCGCCUCCCGGUCCCCGCGGCAGCGAGCCGCGAAGUCGCGGAGCGCGCGGAAGAGCUGCGCUCGCGGCUCAGCGUCGGGGCCCGGCGCCGCCGGGACGUCGUCCUCUGGCUCCUCCGCCGGCCAGAUCUUGUCCCAAAAGGACAGACACGCAGGCGCCUCCUGAGGAAGGGCUCCACGCCCCAGGCGGGCGUCAGGCUGCGGUGCCGCCGGAGGCCCAUGGGGAGGCCCAGUUUGAGCGAGAAUCCGGCAGGGUCGGUGGGGACAGCCAGGUGCGGGUGACAGGCAGCGCCGACCCGCGGCCACUCCGGGGGCGCCCUCCACGGGGCGCGGCCCCCUGCCUCCUGGCGGACCCAGCCCCGAUCGCACAGCCGCCUUCCUGGAUGCCUGGGGUGCGGCGGCAGGAUCUGCCGGGCCCAUAGGAUUGCCACAGACUCCCCCACAGCUCUUCUGGUUGAACAUGCGGUGAAGGGGCUUCCCACGCUGUGCCCAGUGCAGACGGAGAGCUUCCUGGAUAGCUGGCCCUCGUGGGGAUGGGACGCAGCUGUAAUCCUCGAGUGCACCACUCCUCUGGCAAGAGGCCAGAUGGCCAAGCCCCUGCCCACAGCGAGCGCAGCUUGAGGGCCACGGGCCCCAGGCAGGCGGUACAAGUGGAGACUCAGCUCGCUGGGGGUGAGGGGCUCCAGAAGAAUACCGUGGCAAAUGCACAAUCGAGGAGGCCUUGGGCGUGCCUCCGAGGCUCUGCGCUGCACAGCCCUGCUCAGAUUUUCCCCAUCGUCUGCCUUCCAUUUGCCUGCCAGGGUUUUUGUACAGCAGUUCCCUUAAGUCCUCCAUAUCUAGUUUUGCAGGAAACCUGGCAGGAAACCCAGCUUCCCGUCUCCAACUGAGAAGCCAUAGGGAGGCCUCCUUUGGCUGUGAGAGCCCCCCCCCCACCCCAAGAGACCUUGCGGGGGUCACGCACUGGGAAACUGAAGGCCGAUUCCUCAGAUAUUGCCUGUCUUGCAAAGCCACACAGUCCUGGCCUCUAGACUCGGCACAUUCCGUGUGCAGCUGGAGCCCAGGGGCAGGUGGCGGGUCAGUGGCAGAGUCAGAGGGGAAGAGGGGCAGUGACAGCACAGAAGCCUGCCCACCCAUGCUACUGCUGUUGAAAAGGGCUCCAAGGCGGAGCAGUCUUCUUCCUCCUUCCUCCCUCCCCUGGGCAAGACUGAGAGGGGAAUCCGUGGGCCAAUGGGGACUCAGCUCCCAAAGAAGGCCCACUGAUCUCCCUGGUGACCCGAACGGAAGGUCUAAACCCCCAGGACCCCCCAGAGAGGGAGAGGCCCAGAGGGUCUUCAGUGACCAGGCCACAGAGUGCCCCGGGAAAUGGGCCAUCCGUCCCUGGACUGUCCAACCCAGCGGGCUCUGCAGCCUGACCUUUCAGCCUACCCUAGCCUGCAACCCUCAUGCUGCACCCACCGACCCUGUGCCCUGACCUGCUCCUCCACACCUACACCCUACACCUCCCACACUGUGCCAUAACAGCCGGUCCUGACCCAGCAGGGCCCACACCAUACCCCUUCCGCACCCUGCAGUCAGCUGACCAGGUGCCAGGCCCCAGCCCUGGUGCCAGCUGCACGGGUGCCAUCCAACCUGUGUCCUC
rnacentral:lncRNA from 1 species